rnacentral:rRNA from 1 species
GCUUAACACAUGCAAGUCGAACGGCAGCACGGGAGCUUGCUCCUGGAGGCGAGUGGCGAACGGGUGAGUUAUGUAUCGGAACGUACCCAGUCGUGGGGGAUAACUCUCCGAAAGGAGAGCUAAUACCGCAUACCUUCUGAGGGAAAAAGCGGGGGACCUGCAAGGGCCUCGCGCGAUUGGAGCGGCCGAUAUCGGAUUAGCUAGUUGGUAGGGUAAAGGCCUACCAAGGCGACGAUCCGUAGCGGGUCUGAGAGGACGACCCGCCACACUGGAACUGAGACACGGUCCAGACUCCUACGGGAGGCAGCAGUGGGGAAUUUUGGACAAUGGGGGCAACCCUGAUCCAGCCAUUCCGCGUGAGUGAAGAAGGCCUUCGGGUUGUAAAGCUCUUUCAGCAGGAAAGAAACGGUCGGCUUUAAUAAAGUUGGCUAAUGACGGUACCUGCAGAAUAAGCACCGGCUAACUACGUGCCAGCAGCCGCGGUAAUAC